rnacentral:rRNA from 1 species
GGACCCGCACAAGCGGUGGAGCAUGUGGUUUAAUUCGAUGCAACGCGAAGAACCUUACCUGGUCUUGACAUCCUGCGAACUUUCUAGAAAUAGAUUGGUGCCUUCGGGAACGCAGUGACAGGUGCUGCAUGGCUGUCGUCAGCUCGUGUCGUGAGAUGUUGGGUUAAGUCCCGUAACGAGCGCAACCCCUAUCCUUAUUUGCCAGCACAUCAUGGUGGGAACUCAUGGGAUACUGCCGGGGUCAACUCGGAGGAAGGUGGGGAUGACGUCAAAUCAUCAUGCCCCUUAUGUCUUGGGCUUCACGCAUGCUACAAUGGCCGGUACAGAGGGCUGCAAUACCGCAAAGGUGGAGCGAAUCCCAAAAAGCCGGUCUCAGUUCGGAUUGAGGUCUGCAACUCGACCUCAUG